AUAAUGCAGCGGAUCCGCAUGGAUAUGUUGUUAAAGGUUUACCGCCUUGGGAUAGGCUUGCGUCUGAUUAGCUAGUUGGUGUGGUUAAACGGCACACCAAGGCUACGAUCAGUAACUGGUCUGAGAGGAUGAUCAGUCACACUGGAACUGAGACACGGUCCAGACUCCUACGGGAGGCAGCAGUGAGGAAUAUUGGGCAAUGCUCGAAAGAGUGACCCAGCAACGCCGCGUGGAGGAUGAAGGUAUUCUAUAUCGUAAACUCCUGUGAGAGCAGACGAAAGACAGAUUAUUAAUCUGGAUGACUGUAUGCUCAGAGGAAGCCCCGGCUAACUACGUG
rnacentral:rRNA from 1 species